AUCCGGCUGAUGAGUAUCAAACAGUACGAAACGUGCGUCCAGUAU
rfam:Schistosoma mattheei strain Denwood, Zambia genome assembly, scaffold: SMTD_scaffold0002147